GCUGGUCCUCCUGUAAACCCCAUCGAUAGCAUUCUGACAUGUCCUGGGAGCCCUUCAAGCUAGGAAUGUACAUUCGUACCGAAAAGACGAAGAAGAAGAAGCUAGGGAUGUACUCGCGCUGCCUCACUCAGUCAAUUUAAACGGAAUAAAUGCACAAACUGCACAAAA